AGGCAGCAGUAAGGAAUAUUGGUCAAUGGACGCAAGUCUGAACCAGCCAUGCCGCGUGCAGGAUGACGGCCCUCUGGGUUGUAAACUGCUUUUAUAGGGGACGAAAAAAGGGCUUUCUAGCUCGUCUGACGGUACCCUAGGAAUAAGCACCGGCUAACUCCGUGCCAGCAGCCGCGGUAAUACGGAGGGUGCAAGCGUUAUCCGGAUUUACUGGGUUUAAAGGGUGCGUAGGUGGGUCGGUAAGUCAGCGGUGAAAUCUUCGAGCUUAACUCGGAAACUGCCAUUGAUACUAUCGAUCUUGAAUCAUCUAGAGGUAAGCGGAAUAUGUCAUGUAGCGGUGAAAUGCUUAGAUAUGACAUAGAACACCAAUUGCGAAGGCAGCUUACUAUGGAUAUAUUGACACUGAGGCACGAAAGCGUGGGGAUCAAACAGGAUUAGAUACCCUGGUAG
rnacentral:rRNA from 1 species